rnacentral:lncRNA from 1 species
CCCCAUCAAGAGAUUCGACUCGUGCUGACCGUGGCAGACAAAACAAGCUGACGGAUCUGUUUUUCUGUUUCCUAAAGAGUUGUAGUUUGUUAGGAAAGUUAGAGAUAGAGUUGGAUUUCGGCCUCCUUACUCAAGGUGGACAAAAAUAUCUCUCCCUCCUCCUUUAUAUACCCCAUGAGCCCCCCUAAGGAGUCUUGGGUUUUGAUUAGAUAAAGUUUAAGCCUUUGCGACUUUCGUGUAAUCGCAUGUGUUGGUUAGACCACCUGUUUUACCGUCAUCAAGACUCCAACAAUAUUGAGUAUUCAGAUUCGCGAACCUUCAUAUCUCCUAUUUGCAAUUUCAGAUUGUUUUUCAUGUUGUUCUUGCUUGUUCUUCGAUUGCUUGCAGGAACAAAGACCUUCGUGGUCAGGUUGAUCGUGCCCCCGCGGGAUCAAUAACCUUCUGGAGUUGGUGUAUCGAUCGCUAAGGUGCUGCCUCCUAGGUUGUAGUCCGAUCGUCAACGUCACCUCCUACCAAAUCGAUAAUUAGGUAUCUCAUCGAAAGAUUGGGACAGCCUCGAGGCUAUCACGUGGUAUCAGAGCUUAAGGUUGCUCGGUGAGACCUUUCAGUUUAUCCCUAGCUUAGAUCUGUUUUUUUACCUAUCGUCAAGAAAAAGCCAAAAAAAAAUUUAGAUUAGUUACCUUGUCCUAGAACUAAUCUGAGCCUUGCAAUUUUCACAUUAGUUUUGCAUUGUUGAAUCUUUGCUGCAUUAAUCGUGUCGAGUUGUUGGAUUAGAUUGGAUCGUUUUUCAGAUUUUUUCUACUAGAUCGAACUUGUUUUUGUCUUUUGAUUUCGUGUGACACAAGCUUUCCAUCAAUCUUCCACCGCCAAACUUCUUGCCACACCACCGCCAUAAUCUUCCGCCGCCACCAUAUCUUCCACCGAGUCCCUCUUCGAGUCCUACACCGAGUCCCUCGUCGAGUCCUACACUGAGUCCCUCUUCGAGUCCUACAUCGAGUCGGCAAGUUAUAGUUUUCAGCCGCGAGUCCAAGUCCGAGUCGGAAAGUGUUUCAUAAUAGAUCGAAUUUUCUUUAGAGAUCAAGUUGUUCGGAAAGUUGUGAAAAAAUGAAAGGAAAGAAAAAAAAAGGAAAGAAAGAAAGAAAAAAAAACAAAAGAAAAAGAGAAAGAGUUCGAGUCAGUUUCGGACCCAAGUCCGAGUAUAAUUUUAGUUUCGGAUGGGUUUGACCCGUGUUCAGUCAAACGGACGUAUCUUUUGCGUACCAACUCGUAUUUGGACGUUCUUGGACUUUUUGGAAAGCUCACGAUGAGGCGCAUCAGGAAAUAUCCAGGGCUUUGCCCCGCACUUUGACCCUCAAAUUCGGUUUGUAAGGUGAACUUUCGGAGCUUCCAAGUUUCUGCAUCCGUUUUUCGGCGUCGCUGCAGCCCGGUGUUUUACAGUUUUCUCCACCGUCCGACAUCCGUUUUGAGUGAUCUUGCCCUUGCUGGAAAGUUGUGUCGAUACGCUUCUAACCCAUAUUUUUCCAUAUUUUUCUGAAUUUUCCUUACUACAGCCUUUGCUGUUCUUCGACAGACCGACGUACAGUUUUCCGGUCCUUCUUUUGCGUGAGUUUCUGUGGUUAAAAAAAAGAAGAAGAAGAAGAAAAGAAUAAGAAGCCAAACAGAAGGCCACAAAAAGAAAAAGAAAAAAAAAGAAAAAAAAUCCCAAGGAUUUACUUGUUGUGCCAUCUUUUGAUCUAUCUAUUCCUACCUUCUUCAGUAUCUAGGCUUAGAUUAUUUUUGUAAUUCGUUCUUUUCGACUCCAGCAGCUAGGACUAGCAUUAUCGAGCAUAUUUUCAACUUUGCAUUGCUGAUUUGAUUAUUUGCUAUUCCUUGCUACUCACAAAAGCCUGCAAGCUCCACAGAUUCUACACCUAGGUUGGUUUGUUACCGAGGCAUCGAUACAUUUAAUCUCCGGAGGUGUUGGUUACGCCGCUUUCCAUCACCUUCCUGUUUUGCAUGGUAAGAACUUGUAAGAACUUGAUUUUUAGCUUGAGAGUUGAGCGACUUGUAGCCACAUCCUAGUAGUUGAUAGAAACAUAUUACUGUGAUUUGUUUUUUGUUUUCUACUAACCAUGACAGGACUUACACGAAGCAUGGCAACUAGACUGAUGCUAUCCCGUGACCGCGAUGAGUGCUUUUCACCACGGCCAUCCUCCACGUCUCUUGUUGAUAAUGCCACGGCAACAGUACAAAACAAUCCUUCUAAUACAAUUAAAUUGUGUGUACCUUUCUUUGAGGGGAAAAAUGAUGCUGAAACGUAUAUAGAUUGGGAGCUAGCUUUAACUGAACAAUUCACAUGCUUCCAUGUACUUGAUAGUCGCAAGGUUCAAAUUGCUAGUAGUAAAUUUACUUUUGCUGCUUUAUCUUGGUGGAAUGAGAUAGUUAGAGAAAAAAAAAUUCCCCACACUUGGGUUUUGAUUAGAUAAAGUUUAGCCAUCUUUGCUACUUUCGUGUAAUCGCGUGUGUCGGUUAGACCACCUGUUUUACCGUCGUCAAGACUCCAACUUAUCGUUUCGUUGAGACAUUGGUUUGAUAUAGUAUAUUCGCAAUUUCAGAUUGCAUCCGCUAUUUAUCUUGUUCUUGCUUGUUCUUCGAUUGCUUGCAGGAACAAAGACCUUCGUGGUCAGGUUGAUCGUGCCCUCGCGUGAUCAAUAACCCUCUGGAGUUGGUGUAUCGAUUGCUAAGGCGCUGCCUCCUAGGCCGUAGUCGGAUCGUCAACGUCACCUCCUACCCAAAUCGAGAGUUAUCAAUCUCAUCGAAAGAUCGGGCCACCCCGACCC